UCGAGGGUGAAGUGAAGUCUCUGGCGAUGUUCCCUGGGCCCCGCUGCCUGACUUCCUGCCUCCCACUCUAGGCUUUCCACGGAGUGACAGAAGCCUCGGUCGAGCUCCUGCCUGGAGGCUGCUCCGCAUCCUCUAAAGGGAACAUGCCACUGGACCCAAGAAAGAAGAUAUCAUUUAGAUUGGAUUUCAUUAUGAUCAUCACCAAAAAGUACCUUCUAUGUGCAUCGAUUGGUAGCAUCCCAGUAUCCUUUAUGUGACCUAAAUUAAUAUGCCCUAAUGGUCUUGGGCAAAAUAAGGGAAGAGGAAAAAAACAGAUGGUUAUCACAGAGUUUACUACAAGGCACUCUGCUAUUCAGCUGAGCUGCUCUUCCUCGAAAUGGCUCUUUGUAUCUCCACUAGACUGACAGCUCUGAUGGAAGAUGUGUCUUGGCUGGAGGGGACGGUCUGCUGCUGGACAGGUCACUUGAUGGCUAUUCAGGUCUGUUACUCCCAGACCGGGACAGGCAAGUUGCUUAGCUACUAUGUCUUCUCUAAGUGUAGCGUCUCUGCUGGACCAAUUGGUCUGUGAGUCACCUGGUCCUGCUCUUCAAUGGGCACCUGCUGUACUUUUUUUUUCAUCUUUAGCCACUGGGUGGCCCAGGUGUAUUGCAUUGUCAUUAGCUGGAGUCUUAUUUUCCAUUAGACACUCAACUUAGAAAUGACAGUCUUUUCCUUGAAUCCCUUGGCUCAGCUCUUGAGAUGGUUAAUCACCAACAGUGAGAUGAGAAAAGGCUUCCCUCACCCUUCAAUUUUUCCUCCAUGUUGCCUUAAGAGUUUGACUUCAGUACUGACAUCUUCACCUCCCCUACUCCUUUGAGAAUCAUACACAUAAGAGAGACUAAGGACAAAGGUAUGAAUGUAUUCUAGAUCCUGUCCCACUAACCCCUUCAUAUAUAUUAAGUUAUUCAUGCCUGAGGGGAAGAAUGUCUAUUUUCCAUUUUAAGACUUUCUCUUUUGCCUUUUAGCUUCCCUUUAUUUUAGCAGUGGUAGACCUUCAGUUUUUGUUGAAAUUUCACAGGAAUACCCUCCUCACAUAAGCAAGGAACAACUCCAAAGAAGAACUGGAAUAAAAGAUGUCACUAAAGAACUAUAAAGAUGAGCUGGACACAUUGCAAGAGUAAGGAAUGACAGCUGAGUAGCCAGAGUGCUCCACUGAUAUGCUGGAGAUAUCAGGAGAAAGUAAAUAAACCCCUUGCACUUUGGGUGGACUCCCCUAUGGAAACUUUGCUAGAAAAAAAGGCAAAAGUAGUGCAGGAUGGGCUUUGUUGGAUAGAUUGUGCUCUACUCUGUUGGAAGGAAUUAUUGAAGGGACAAGAACUAUUGAAUGAACAAGUAGCAUUUGAGAAUUUGACAAGAAUAGAUUGAGGAAGGGACAGACAAGAUAGAUGGAGUUAUGAAGCUAUCAUAAUAGCCUGUGUUAGAGGUUAUAUUAUCCUUAACUAAAAUUAGUAGUAUAAAGGAAAGGUUGAUAUGAGAGAUAUCGGGAGAUAAAAAUCUUUAUGACAGGCAACUGAUUGAGCACAGGGGUGAAGAAGGAAAAGUCAAAGAUGACUUCAAGGUUUUAAAUCAGUGUCAUUGGGAUUGACAUAUCUAGAAUGGCAAGAAAAAUGAAGGUUUAUGAAUAUGUUAGACUUAAAUGACAUGUUGCUUAGUUUUGCUGAACUUACUAUGCCUCUAUUCUAAAUUAUUUUUUAUAACGGAUGACACUGAGAAGGAGUGUUGAAAAUGGUGGUAAUAUAAAAAGAAAAAAGAAAAUGUGUCAAUAAGACAUGUAAAAAGGGAAUGUUGGAGCUUUGGAUUUUCGUGGGGAGUGGGAAUAGGAUAUGAAUGAUCAGUUUACAUUUGUUCAUAUAGUAUUAGAGAUGCAAAACAUUCAACAAGUGUUAGAAAUGUGCUCAAGGGGAGAAAUUACAUUUGGAAUUAUAGAUGUUUCUGUUAUUGACAUAGAAAUGAUCAUUUAAAGACAAUACAGAAUGAUACAAAAUACAUAAAAUAAAAAAAUUAAUUCUUUAAGUAUUUUGUUAUUGUUGGGGGUAGAGUGGGAUGUGGCAAAGGAGCACUGGAAAUUCCGUAUAUAUUUCUCCCACUCCUAGACCUUUUGUUGGUUUAUAAGUUCUUGGAAGGGCAGCUAUUAUUUCAUUUUUAUCCUUACAUCUCUGACCUCUAACAUGACACCUUUCACUUAGUAGGUCCUAAAUAAAUAUUUGUUGACUUAAAUAUAUAUCCAUUUUCCCAUUCAUUUCCCAAAGCAAACAAAUUGGAGGGCUUAACUAAUGCCAUUCUGGGAGUGAGUCAGUAAGGUUAGCUUGAAUUCUCAUUUAGAAAUAAAUGUCGUAUAGAUAUUCUGGGCAAAGUCACUCUCAAGGACGAAAACCCUGGACCUCCAUAUUCCUAGUUUCAAUAACUAAUAUAAAACCCAAGGAGCUUCAAAAAUUCAAAUCACUCUGUGAACAAUUAAUGACCAGAAACUCCAAUUUCAUGUUAAUUGGUUUUAAUUAAAAAUGUUUUUUUUCCUCUCUCCUUAUCUACAAGGGCUUAUCAUCAGUAUGCUAGGAAUCUAAUCUUUAAAUUCCCUGCAUCACAUACUGUACCUUUGCAGCUGAAUAAUAAAGCAAAUCUCAGAACAGCACCUGAAUGGUCUAAUGGAGGGAGGUUGGAGGGAAGGAGAAGAAGGGAAUGAAAAUUAGACCCAGUGAUUGAUACCAAAAGAAAUAGGAAAGAAUGUCAUUUCAGGAAGUUAAAUAAAAUUAUAUUAGCCAGAGCUUCUUGUCCCCAAAACAUAAAGGGAAAGUUGAUUUUCUAACCAAUUCUGCUUGACUGAACCUCCCAAGGGACUCUCAUGUAGCUCCUAAUAUUGUAAAAUCAUCUUUUAGGUGAUUGGGGGCACAGAAGUUAGAGGAUAAUAAAUGAAGCAAAUUUUAUUAGUUUAUCAAAACCUGUAACUUCCCAUCCUACAAAGAAGAGAAAGAGAGAAGCAUCUGUUUCUGGUUCUGUCCAGCAAAAGAGAGACUGCGACUCAACAUUAAAGAAUGAGUGAAUUCUGUAGGCUUCAGCAAAAGAAAGGAAGUAAUUCUGCUAAAUAACAAGUCAGCAACUUGCAAGGAAUUUUUCCAAGAAGUGUGGCUGUCUUUGCCCAAAGUGACUGUGUGCUCCUGUUGUGUUCAUAACAAUUUCACAAGAAUUCUGUACUUUAAUAAAUGAAAGGUGAUAAUUAAUCCUUUCAAAUGGAAUGCUUUGCCACCACUUACAACUCUUUUCUGGGGGAAAAAAAUAAAUAAAAAACCUUUAUU